rnacentral:rRNA from 1 species
UAAUACGAAGGUGGCGAGCGUUGUCCGGAUUUACUGGGCGUAAAGAGCGCGCAGGCGGCUGGGCAAGUCCGAUGUGAAAGCUUCCGGCUUAACUGGAAAAUUGCAUCGGAAACUGCUCGGCUUGAAGGUGGGAGAGGGUAGCGGAAUUCCCGGUGUAGUGGUGAAAUGCGUAGAUAUCGG